GUGAGGAAGCUUAAGGAGAGCUGAAUUAUUUGGUAGUGGAUCCAAGGCAAGGAAACCUAAGAGAGAAAACUGGAGAGAGGGCUGUGUUUGAAGGAUUUUCUUGGCUGGGAAAGUUAAGCCUAGGGAAAAGGGCGGUGGGAUUGUGAACUACAGGAAGCAGGCAGUAGAUCGGCAAGGUCACAGAGGUGAUUGAAGAGCAAAGCUUCUCCUCUCUGCAUGAAGUGAUUGAUUGUCCAGGCUGUACAGUGGAGUGGCAUGCUGGUGAUACCCACACGUUCCUUUUCCUAUUCUGUCCAAAUCAGAAAGAAAAGCACAUGAAGCACCCAAAAGCAGGCCCCUUCACUAUGAAACACAUUGAAGGGCCUUUCAAGGUUGCUCAGGAGUUUUCUCAGAAGACCAGUUACAGAAGUCUUGUUCAAACUUUGCAGUCUUCACUUCCUCUGUGCUGAGCAAAGAAGGGAGACAGAGACAAAACCUGGCUGGAAAAGAGUUAUGGAGGAGAGAAGAACAAGAGGCCAUAAAAGGAUAAAAAGACGAGGUCUUGCACAAUAAGAUGGAAAACGUGCACUCCAGGAAAAGCAUCUUAUUGCAGCAUGUAACUAUACUCCACAACAGGACAUCUUAAGUGCUGCUUAUGUAUUGUUGCUACUUCAGAUUAAAACUGUAAUGACACAGGAUAAAUUGUACAUAUAAUUUUGACUACUUUAUCUGCCCUCUGUCCACUUGGCCCAUCUCUUCCAAAACUGCGCCUGAACCUGCCUUUAAAAAUUUUAAAAACUGACUCUUUUCAUUCCCCCAAUGACAUAGGCCAGGCUAAUUAGGAGCAGGGAUAAUGAGAUCCAAGACAGAUCAUAUGCAUCCCCGUAUCGGUGACAUAUUGAAAGUCUAAUGGCUUGCAACUGAUCCCAAUUAGAACGGGAGUCUUUAUUCCGGAGACUCCCAGCUUUCAAAUGCCAAAUUGUACAACACUGUUUUGUAGUCCUCAAAGAUCCUGAGAUAUCAGCCCCAAAAUGCAUCAUUACUGUAGAUAGAAACCCUUGCUCUGGCUAUUUUCAGUAGCUUCUCUAAAAGUUAAGUUAUGCUUAUCCCAUCAGUUUCUGAGUCCAUUACAUGUAUGGUAAAUAAAGUAAGGCCAUAGUCCUGCAGUGGGCUCAAAUCUUGAUGAAACUUUACUUUCUUGUCAAUUCCCAGUUGAUUUGAAAUAAGUUUUGAUGAGCAACAUUUGACCAGCUCUUGACACAGGAGCCCAGCCCAACCUUCUUACAUUGGCUCUGUGCUGCCUGAAAGCAGGAAUUGUCCAUGGCCUUAUGCCUAGAGCUCAAUGAAUACAAACCACUUCGGUUGGUUGGCUGAAUUAACAU